CGUCUAUAAAACUAUGCAUUAAGAAAUGAGAAAAUGCAAGUUGGAUGCAGUAACAAACAUACCAUAAUCAUAUUACGUGGUGAAUGUUCUGCGAAUCAUACAAAAGCAAAAAAUAAAAUAAAAAUAGACAAAAAUCUGUGGUCUGAUAGAUCAAUCAGUUCCGAACUUUCGUUCCUGAUACGCUCCAAAAAUUGUACUACUGUCAUAGCAAACAUCCAAGAGCAAUGGGAAAAACAAAGAACAAUAAGCUCAUUUAGACUUCCAGCAAGUUCCAAUAAUUUUCUUCACUAUGGUCCAUCAAUUGCAGUGUAUGGAUGUGAUGGAAACAAGCGGUUAAAUUAAUUACAAAUGGAUGCAAUGCAAAGGUAAAGCUGAUAAUUAAGAUUGUAUAAGAAAUGACAACAUGCAAUGUUACUUUUAUGCAAAGACGCUCUGGAAGAAAAGAAACGAUAUGGUGGUGUUUGCUAUUACUACUUGUUAGUGUUAUUCCACUUUGUGUCGGGGAAAUGGGGAUAAAUAGCAAGUUCUCUGUUAUUCUGUUUUAAAGUAACCUUAUGCUUUUUCUCUUCUAAUAACUUUAACUUGUACUGGUUGUUAACAUAAUUUUCAAUGUAAGAGAGUCUCCGACCAAUUAAUGUAAAAUGAAAUCUUCAACUUCAUUCUGAAUCAUGUAACAGAAAUAUCGAUUUAUUUAACAAAAAAAUGUUUAUGUGACAGGGUAAAUAAUCCACACAUAAUUGUUGAUUGGUGAUCUUAUGGCUAGUGGGACCGAACAGUCAAUCCACUUCAAAAAUUUGCCCACACUAGAUUCCAUAAAGGGUCUUAUAGUUUCUUUUCAUUCACUAAUAAGAACAAAUGACAAACCUACAAAAGUACUUAAUUCAGAAUCAUGUGCUAUAGCAAUAUCCAAUAGUAUACAAGAGAUUUUUUAGUGGGAUGCAAGUUCACAAGGUAAGUGGAACAAAUAAUUCAAAUUGUACAUUUUAGAUGCAUAUGGAUGUAUCUAGAAUCAUACUAUAUACUCCAAAUUACUUUGGGGUCACUGAGACCAUAAACCACAUGAUUUAUUUAAUGAGUCAAGAAUUGUCAUGAAUGAGGAAAAAAGAUAUAUAUGUGAAAAAUUAUCAGACAUGCUAUGAAAUCAAUAGUGAUAUUAUUAAUGAAUUCAAUACAGAUAUCACAUGCAGGAGAAGGCCCCAAAGACCUUUUCACCUCCAUAUUUAAAGCCAAUUAAUUAAUUAGGCCACUAUGUAAAGAGAGUUCACCUCUUUUUGGAAAAACCAAUAAAAAAAUUGAAAAGUAUACAAAAACUAUAUACACGUGUUUCCCAUCACACGCGUUGGACACCAGGCAAUGGUGUUCUGUAUAGUUAGGCCAAAGCUCAAGGCCAAAAAUAAACAGCUUUCGCAAACAAACAAAAAAGAAAGUUCACAACAAACACAUGUGAUUGGCACGUAUCGAAUCCAUCUUCACAAAUACCAUCAGAAAAGUCCACGAAAUGUAGCCAACUUAUUUCUGUUCUUUUGUAAUGUUGAGAGGAGCGUGUAUUGGGAAAGUUGAAGUAGUGAUGCUUGGGGCCAAGAAAAGAAACUUCACUAAUAAACAUCUCUUCACAUAUGACAAGUCAUAAACAGCUCAAAACUUCUGAAUAUUAAUCCACCAAGGUUUUAAUUUUGAUACUGUUCUCAUCUAUUUUCUUCCCUGUUUUCUAGAGCACUGUCCCACCAUCUUUCACCUAUAAUCAAUGCAACCUUUGAAUUCCUAUCCCCAACUUCUUUCUUUCUUUCUUUCUUCCACAUUACUACCACUAAUUUUCCCAAACCAAUAAAUAUAUGUUACAAAAUCCCUCUUCCCUGAGGAAUAUGCAAACCCAUUAAUUAAUAAAUGGGGAUACCCCAAACCAAAAACGAAAAAACUCUCUUACAUACAAUACAAUAAUAUAUUCAAUUUUUCAUUUCAAAAACCCACUUAAAAAUGUUUAGGUUUCUAGACAACCUGGCCCACGUUAUUUCCUCUUGUUCCUUUAUUAUUAUUAUUCUUGUUUUGUUACUCUUCACUUGGAGUUUCCUUUGUCAUCAUCUACCCAGACACAGUUAUUAUUUAAUUUCCUCUUUUUAUAAGACAAUGAGAAACAGGGUGAAGAAGAGGAGGAUGGAGAUGAUGAUGAUGACGAGACACUGAACCACUUUCGGGUCCGAGUUGUAACUCUUAGCUGUGGCAACACUUUAGGAGGCUUUCUUUGGUUAUUGCUAAUCACAGUUUCUUGCAUCAACUCAUAGCACCCUAUAAUUUUUUCCUGCAGUAAACAAAUAUGUGUGCUUUGGAUUACAAAUAAACAAACCCAUAAUUUUGUUUUUGUUUUAAUGGUCAUAAUUUAACAUAUAC
rnacentral:lncRNA from 1 species